rnacentral:ncRNA from 1 species
UUCCUCGACCUAUUCUCAAACUUUAAAUGGGCAAGAUCCAGUAGUUACUUAAUUGAACUAUUGGGGUCAAUGAGACGACUCUAAGUGGGCCAUUUUUGGUAAGCAGAACUGGCGAUGAGGGAUGAACCUAACGCUCGGUUAAGGUGCUAAACUGCUCGCUCAUCAGAUACCACAAAGGGUGUUGGUCGAUCUUAACAGCAGGACGGUGGUCAUGGAAGUCGAAAUCCGCUAAGGAGUGUGUAACAACUCACCUGCCGAAUCGACUAGCCCCGAAAAUGGAUAGCGCUGAAGCGAGUGACCGAUACCGGGCCAUUGUUGCAAGAUAAUUGGCAACAAUGAGUAGGAGGGCGUGGGGGUUGUGAAGAAGCUUGGACGUGAGUCUGAGUGAAACAGCUUCCAGUGCAGAUCUUGGUGGUAGUAGCAAGUAUUCAAUAAGAGAACAUUGAAGGCCGAAGUGGGGAAGGGUUCCAUGUGAACAGCACUUGGACAUGGGUUAGCCGAUCCUGAGAGACAGGUUAAAUUCCAUCGGAUUGGAGCUUUGGCUCUGUUUCUCGAAAGGGAAGCUGGUUAGUAUUCCAGCGCCGAGACGUGGAUAAUAUGUGGCAACACAAGUGAACUCGGACACGCCAUAGGGGACCCCAGGAAGCGUUGUCUUUUCUUUUUAACAGUUCGACUUACCCUGGAAUCAGAUCAUCUGGAGAUAGGGUUUUCGAACUGGAAUAGCACCUUGUCUAACAGGGUGUCUGGAGUGUUCUCGCUGGCCCUUGAAAAUCCGAGGGAUAGAUUUAUUCGCACUCUCGAUCGUACCCAUAACCGCAUCAGGUCUCCAAGGUUAGAAGCCUCUGGUCCGUAGGACAAAGUAGAUAAGGGAAGUCGGCAAAAUAUGUCCGUAACUUCGGGAAAAGGACUGGCUCUGAGGUUUGGUAUGUGGAACCUGGAUUAAUCGUUGGAGUCGAGCAGAGACUACUUGUUGCUCACGUGACUUGUGGACUCCUUGCUUGAUACCUUCAAUUGAUCCAGGCUGCUUCGGCGCUCUGCAUGCACUUAACAAACAGCUCAGAACUGGAGC